GACGAACGCUGGCGGCGUGCUUAACACAUGCAAGUCGAGCGGUAAGGCCCUUUCGGGGGUACGACGAGCGGCGAACGGGUGAGUAACACGUGGGUGACCUGCCCUCAGCUCUGGGAUAAGCCUGGGAAACCGGGUCUAAUACCGGAUAUGACUCCAUGACGCAUGUUGUGGGGUGGAAAGCCUUGUGCGGCUGAGGAUGGGCCCGCGGCCUAUCAGCUUGUUGGUGGGGGUGAUGGCCUACCAAGGCGACGACGGGUAGCCGGCCUGAGAGGGCGACCGGCCACACUGGGACUGAGACACGGCCCAGACUCCUACGGGAGGCAGCAGUGGGGAAUCUUGCGCAAUGGGCGAAAGCCUGACGCAGCGACGCCGCGUGAGGGAUGACGGCCUGUGUAAC
rnacentral:rRNA from 1 species